CCAGGGCCCUAAACUGGGCCUCAGUAAUUGUAGAGUAGCCCGCACAGGGCGGGGAAGAAUCUGACGUUUCCAAAGGCCUUUUUGAUGUUGAUGAUUAUGGCGAUGAUGAUGCUGUCCGUCUCCUACCAAGACUGGGGCCUUUCUUUGUUUCUCUCACCAUCGGGGUCUUUCUCUCUCCCUUUCUCUCUCUCUCUCUCUCUCUCUGCCCUGAGGACUGGGGUUGUCAGAGGACCAAGAGUUGCUCCUCCUUGGGGGCUGGAAGGGGACAAACUGGGCAGAAGUGAAACGAGGGGAAUCAACCCACCCUUCACCUUCCCCAAACUGGGCCCAGGGGUGUGCUGAUGUGUCAUUAGCAUAACAUUUGCAUAAGGAACAAUUGAGGAGAUUGGAGUCUCGCCUCAGAGGAAACACCUGCAAGCAACAGUGAAUGAAAGCUUCUCCCGCCUCCACCCUUAGAUGCCUCCCACCCCACCCCAGGAUGGGGGACGUGGCUGGAGCCCACUCAUGUGCCUCGCAGUGAGGAUGACGGCGAUCGCAGUUAUCAUUCACGGAGUGCCUACUCAGUGCCAGGCACCGAGGUGGAUGUUCUGUUUCUCUUCAUCUUCGCAACCACCCUCGGUGGUACAUUUUAUUAUUUUAUAAUACAGCUUACAAAGAAGGAAGCUGGGGCUCAGCCACCUCGAAGUCAUACAGAUUAUGUUAGCAGCGACAGAGCUGGGCUUUGGAAUAGGGUGGUAUGAUUCAGUGCCUGUGCCCUCAACCACUCAACCACUCACAGCAGAUUGGGGUGCUCGGGGCUCACUUCAGGCACCCAAAUCCAGUCUCCAUGGACUCAGGGGAUCCUGGGAGGCUUAGAACAAGGGCUCCAAGACAGGCCGCUACCCAAAGGCACACAUGCUUGCACACACACAUGCACAGCGCUCUGCCCUGCCCCCACCUGUGCUUCUGGAGGCAGAGGAGCUGGGCUGACUUGGCCCAUAACCAGGUUAGCUAAGAUCCAAUUAACUAGUUAGCGCAGGCAGAGCUGGGGGCAGGCAGGGCGCGCUGGAGAGCGGGACGGAUGGGUUGGGUAAUGUGCAGAGACAGCCAGAGACAGCGGCUCCGCUCUAACCUGAUAAGCAGCUCCCAACAUCACUGCCGCCCAGCCUGGCAGGCGGAGUGGCCUCAAUCCUGGGUUGCUGGGGAGGGUGCUGGGACGGUCUCCGACCCCCAUUCCUCCCUUCCACACACACACUGCCCUCAUCUUCUGGCCUCUCCUCAGCAACACUCACUCCUGCUCUGCCCCCUCUAAGGACUGUGAGGAAGGCAGCUUCUUCUGCUAGAUGUUUUCAUCCACUAUCUGCAGUCAUGAACAGAAGGGUCUCCAAUGGGAGCAGAAACAGGGAAAGGAGUGGUAAGAAUGGCAAUGACAUUGAAAGAUGUGGGAGCUGCUCUAACCCAGGUCGCCUGCCCAAGGCUGUGAGACGUCCAAGAACAGAGAAUCCAUCUGGAUGCCACACCCAGUUUUUCAAGAGAGACAACUAAGAACUGGUCAAGUGAAGCCUUCCUCCAAGUCAGCACCAUGUUGGUUUGCCAUCCCACUUUCCCACCUUCCUUCUGCUGCUAAGCACACCCAUAUUUUCCCUAGGCAACCAUCCCUUCCUCACUUCUGUCCAUGUGGUUUAGGAAGGGCUGACUUUACCCCCGACUAGCCGAGAUCUCAGGGUGCAGCUCAGGACUGGAGCUGGCCCAUCUGUGCCUUUCAUCCCUGGGCCACAUGAUUCAAUAAAAGGUGAUCCAGUAUGAUCAGCACUAAA